rnacentral:rRNA from 1 species
UAGGGAAUCUUCGGCAAUGGACGAAAGUCUGACCGAGCAACGCCGCGUGAGUGAAGAAGGUUUUCGGAUCGUAAAACUCUGUUGUUAGAGAAGAACAAGGACGUUAGUAACUGAACGUCCCCUGACGGUAUCCAACCAGAAAGCCACGGCUAACUACGUGCCAGCAGCCGCGGUAAUACGUAGGUGGCAAGCGUUGUCCGGAUUUAUUGGGCGUAAAGCGAGCGCAGGCGGUUUCUUAAGUCUGAUGUGAAAGCCCCCGGCUCAACCGGGGAGGGUCAUUGGAAACUGGGAGACUUGAGUGCAGAAGAGGAGAGUGGAAUUCCAUGUGUGGCGGUGAAAUGCGUAGAUAUAUGGAGGAACACCAGUGGCGAAGGCGGCUCUCUGGUCUGUAACCGACGCUGAGGCUCGAAAGCGUGGGGAGCAAACAGG